rnacentral:ncRNA from 1 species
CCUGUUGAGCUUGACUCUAGUCUGACUCUGUGAAGAGACAUGAAAGGUGUAGCAUAGGUGGGAGAUUGUCAAUUUGCCAUCGUUCACGCGAUGGUCCGGUGAUCGCCAAUGAAAUACCACUACUUUGAUCGUUUCUUUACUUAUUCGGUAAAGCGAAAAAAUUGUGGCCAAUUUGGCGGCGUUUAUGUCGCUGUUGGUCAUUGUUUUCAUGUUGGAUUGAAGCUUUGUUUACAGCCGUCGCUUUGUGUCUUCAUUUGGCGCAUUGUUGUACUGGGUUAUCCCAGUGUGUGAUGUGGUCACAAUGGAUGAUCGGCGAUAGGCUUGAAGUGAUUCGCUCCGGAAACAGUGUCAGACGGGGAGUUUGACUGGGGCGGUACAUCUGUUAAACGAUAACGCAGGUGUCCUAAGGUAAGCUCAGCGAGGACAGAAACCUCGCCUAGAGUAAACGGGCACAAGCUUACUUGAUUUUGAUUUCCAGUACGAAUAGAAACCGCGAAAGCGUGGUCCUAUCGAUCCUUUUGAUUGUGUAGAUUUCAUGCAAGAGGUGUCAGAAAAGGUUACCACAGG